GAGAGCCUAUAUAAAGAGUGCCACCAUGGAACUCAACCCUUUUUAAAUUUCGGUCCUCGCCGGGAAGACAUUCUAGCAAUGGAACUGUGAAAGGACCAAGGUGGUUCAAUAUGUUGCCUUUGCGUUAUCAAGAUCUUGUCCACAAUGUUUGUGUCGGUGAUGUUUGGAAGAGGAUUUGUUGGCAACUGAGAAAUGCUUAUGGAUCCCAUGGCUGCCGUUGCUUUAUAAUUAACUCAAAACCAAACAAGUGGUAAAUAAUAAAAUCAGUACUGUCAGCACCUGACUCUUGGGUUCUAUUUCUUCUAAGAAAAGUCAGCAAAUAGGCUACAAGUGUCCUUGCUAUUGGAAGAAUGAUUUACAAUUAUGUGUAUCAACCCAGACUUCGUCGUGGAGAAAGUACUCAUCGUUCGUUGCUAAAUGCCACCAAACGUUUGUUCGGUAGUAAUCGACCUGGCGGUUUUCGCUGUGAGCUGUGAGCAACCAUCCCGAAUCAGUUCAGCUGCAGCUUCGUCGCAUUCGUGACUAGGCGUUUCUCCUAGGCCACUACGAGCUAACCUACCAUUCAGCUAGAAAGGCCGUCGGGAAGGACAAUUGCUUAGAUAUUUACCAGUACUUUUUGGCCGUGGCUGCUAACUGGAGGUUGACAUAGGUUUUCAAGAUAACCUUGUCGCACAUUGAUGGUGUAUUUAUUCUCAAAAUUCAUCAUCCCAAAUAGAGGGAUGGGGGGUGUGGUAAGGUCUCGUAUUUGUACGAAUCUAAACGCCGGUUAGGUGACAUGGCGUUUCUCCUAGGGCACUCACCUGGUAUACUGUUCGUAUCAUUCGGCUAAAAAGAAUUUUGAAGCGGAUCAAGCUUGGCUUCAUUACUUAUUAGCUAAGCUAUCACCAGGAAUCAAUUCAUCUGCAACUUCGUCACCUGGGUGGCUAGGCGUUUCUCCUAGGCCACUAAGUGACGUCACAAUUGGAGAAAUGCAAGAAUUCUGGUAUGAAAUACAUUUAAAAAUUUUAACUGAACACAAUUAUUUUUUUUUACAGAAAGGGGCUUAUUUCCUACGGUUGCUGUCCCGUGGCGUUCGUAACGGGACUUAUAGUAACCAUAUAUAAAUAUGAACACAAAUGGUUAUUUUUCACGAUUGAUGGCCUUACGGUGGCGGUCGUAACGGGUUUUUUAGGAAUCAUAAUUGCGUGUUUUGUUUGUUACAUUUUUUUUUUCGUUACUCUUUGAAUGUAUUUUUCGAUAAUGCGAAUUG